AAAAAAGGUAAGCUACUAAGAGCGAAUGGUGGAUGCCUUGACUGGUAAAGGCGAUGAAGGACGUACUAGACUGCGAUAAGCUACGGGGAGCUGUCAAGAAGCUUUGAUCCGUAGAUUUCCGAAUGGGGCAACCCAAUGUAUAGAGAUAUACAUUACCUAUAUAGGAGCGAACGAGGGGAAUUGAAACAUCUUAGUACCCUCAGGAAAAGAAAUCAAUAGAGAUUGCGUCAGUAGCGGCGAGCGAAAGCGCAAGAGGGCAAACCCAGUGCUUGCACUGGGGGUUGUAGGACUGCAAUGUGCAAGAGGUAAGUUUAGCAGAACAUUCUGGAAAGUAUAACCAUAGAGGGUGAUAGUCCCGUAUGCGAAAAACAAACCUUAGCUAGCAGUAUCCUGAGUAGGGCGGGACACGAGGAAUCCUGUCUGAAUCCGGGUCGACCACGAUCCAACCCUAAAUACUAAUACCAGAUCGAUAGUGCACAAGUACCGUGAGGGAAAGGUGAAAAGAACUGAGGUGAUCAGAGUGAAAUAGAACCUGAAACCAUUUGCUUACAAUCAUUCAGAGCCCUAUGUAGCAAUACAGGGUGAUGGACUGCCUUUUGCAUAAUGAGCCUGCGAGUUGUGGUGUCUGGCAAGGUUAAGCAAACGCGAAGCCGUAGCGAAAGCGAGUCUGAAUAGGGCGCUUAGUCAGAUGCUGCAGACCCGAAACGAAGUGAUCUAUCCAUGAGCAAGUUGAAGCUAGUGUAAGAACUAGUGGAGGACUGAACCCAUAGGCGUUGAAAAGCCCCGGGAUGACUUGUGGAUAGGGGUGAAAGGCCAAUCAAACUUCGUGAUAGCUGGUUCUCUCCGAAAUAUAUUUAGGUAUAGCGUUGUGUCGUAAUAUAAGGGGGUAGAGCACUGAAUGGGCUAGGGCAUACACCAAUGUACCAAACCCUAUCAAACUCCGAAUACCUUAUAUGUAAUCACAGCAGUCAGGCGGCGAGUGAUAAAAUCCGUCGUCAAGAGGGAAACAACCCAGACUACCAGCUAAGGUCCCUAAAUCUUACUUAAGUGGAAAACGAUGUGAAGUUACUUAAACAACCAGGAGGUUGGCUUAGAAGCAGCCAUCCUUUAAAGAAAGCGUAAUAGCUCACUGGUCUAGUGAUUUUGCGCGGAAAAUAUAACGGGGCUAAAGUAAGUACCGAAGCUGUAGACUUGCACACAACUUAGAUUAUUUAAGUUUAGAAUAUGAGAACUAAGUUAUAUGUUUAGUUAUAUUUUUACUGAUUUUUAUAGAGUAAAGAUAGAAAUAAAACUUAGUAAAAUCAGUAAAAAUAUUCUUAGACUAAAGUUAAGUAGUUUAAGUUGUGUGCAAGUGGUAGGAGAGCGUUCUAUUUGCGUCGAAGGUAUACCGGUAAGGAGUGCUGGAGCGAAUAGAAGUGAGCAUGCAGGCAUGAGUAGCGAUAAUUAAUGUGAGAAUCAUUAACGCCGUAAACCCAAGGUUUCCUACGCGAUGCUCGUCAUCGUAGGGUUAGUCGGGUCCUAAGUCGAGUCCGAAAGGGGUAGACGAUGGCAAAUUGGUUAAUAUUCCAAUACCAACAUUAGUGUGCGAUGGAAGGACGCUUAGGGCUAAGGGGGCUAGCGGAUGGAAGUGCUAGUCUAAGGUCGUAGGAGGUUAUACAGGCAAAUCCGUAUAACAAUACUCCGAGAACUGAAAGGCUUUUUGAAGUCUUCGGAUGGAUAGAAGAACCCCUGAUGCCGUCGAGCCAAGAAAAGUUUCUAAGUUUAGCUAAUGUUGCCCGUACCGUAAACCGACACAGGUGGGUGGGAUGAGUAUUCUAAGGCGCGUGGAAGAACUCUCUUUAAGGAACUCUGCAAAAUAGCACCGUAUCUUCGGUAUAAGGUGUGGUUAGCUUUGUAUUAGGAUUUACUCCGAAAGCAAGGAAACUUACAACAAAGAGUCCCUCCCGACUGUUUACCAAAAACACAGCACUCUGCUAACUCGUAAGAGGAUGUAUAGGGUGUGACGCCUGCCCGGUGCUCGAAGGUUAAUUGAUGGGGUUAGCAUUAGCGAAGCUCUUGAUCGAAGCCCGAGUAAACGGCGGCCGUAACUAUAACGGUCCUAAGGUAGCGAAAUUCCUUGUCGGUUAAAUACCGACCUGCAUGAAUGGCGUAACGAGAUGGGAGCUGUCUCAAAGAGGGAUCCAGUGAAAUUGUAGUGGAGGUGAAAAUUCCUCCUACCCGCGGCAAGACGGAAAGACCCCGUGGACCUUUACUACAGCUUGACACUGCUACUUGGAUAAGAAUGUGCAGGAUAGGUGGGAGGCUUUGAGUAUAUGACGCCAGUUGUAUAUGAGCCAUUGUUGAGAUACCACUCUUUCUUAUUUGGGUAGCUAACCAGCUUGAGUUAUCCUCAAGUGGGACAAUGUCUGGUGGGUAGUUUGACUGGGGCGGUCGCCUCCCAAAUAAUAACGGAGGCUUACAAAGGUUGGCUCAGAACGGUUGGAAAUCGUUCGUAGAGUAUAAAGGUAUAAGCCAGCUUAACUGCAAGACAUACAAGUCAAGCAGAGACGAAAGUCGGUCUUAGUGAUCCGGUGGUUCUGUGUGGAAGGGCCAUCGCUCAAAGGAUAAAAGGUACCCCGGGGAUAACAGGCUGAUCUCCCCCAAGAGCUCACAUCGACGGGGAGGUUUGGCACCUCGAUGUCGGCUCAUCGCAUCCUGGGGCUGGAGCAGGUCCCAAGGGUAUGGCUGUUCGCCAUUUAAAGCGGUACGCGAGCUGGGUUCAGAACGUCGUGAGACAGUUCGGUCCCUAUCUGCCGUGGGCGUAAGAAGAUUGAAGAGAUUUGACCCUAGUACGAGAGGACCGGGUUGAACAAACCACUGGUGUAGCUGUUGUUCUGCCAAGAGCAUCGCAGCGUAGCUAAGUUUGGAAAGGAUAAACGCUGAAAGCAUCUAAGCGUGAAGCCAACUCUAAGAUGAAUCUUCUCUAAGCUCUCUAGAAGACUACUAGUUUGAUAGGCUGGGUGUGUAAUGGAUGAAAGUCCUUUAGCUGACCAGUACUAAUAGAGCGUUUGGCUUAUCUUUAAUAAAGCAU
rnacentral:rRNA from 1 species